GACAGAGGUGCCGAGCGUUAGGCGGAAUCACUGGGCUUAAAGGGCGCGUAGGCGGGCUGUCAAGUCUGGGGUGAAAUCCCGCGGCUCAACCGCGGAACUGCCUCAGAUACUGACGGUCUCGAGGGGGGUAGGGGCGAGCGGAACUGAUGGUGGAGCGGUGAAAUGCGUUGAUAUCAUCAGGAACUCCGGUGGCGAAGGCGGCUCGCUGGACCCCUUCUGACGCUGAGGCGCGAAAGCCAGGGGAGCAAACGGG
rnacentral:rRNA from 1 species